rnacentral:rRNA from 1 species
UACGUAGGGUGCGAGCGUUAAUCGGAAUUACUGGGCGUAAAGCGUGCGCAGGCGGUUUUGUAAGCCAGAUGUGAAAUCCCCGGGCUCAACCUGGGAAUGGCAUUUGGGACUGCAAGGCUGGAGUACGGCAGAGGAGACUGGAAUUCCUGGUGUAGCAGUGAAAUGCGUAGAUAUCAGGAGGAAUACCGAUGGCGAAGGCAGGUCUCUGGGCAUUAACUGACGCUGAGGAGCGAAAGCAUGGGGAGCGAACAGG